rnacentral:tRNA from 1 species
UGAGAUGUAGCUCAAUUGGUAGAGCUCCCCGCUGUUAACGGGGUGGUUGCAGGUUUGAAUCCUGCCGUCUCAG